UUUAUGGAGAGUUUGAUCCUGGCUCAGGAUGAACGCUGGCGGCGUGCCUAAUACAUGCAAGUCGAGCGAACGGACGAGAAGCUUGCUUCUCUGAUGUUAGCGGCGGACGGGUGAGUAACACGUGGAUAACCUACCUAUAAGACUGGGAUAACUUCGGGAAACCGGAGCUAAUACCGGAUAAUAUUUUGAACCGCAUGGUUCAAAAGUGAAAGACGGUCUUGCUGUCACUUAUAGAUGGAUCCGCGCUGCAUUAGCUAGUUGGUAAGGUAACGGCUUACCAAGGCAACGAUGCAUAGCCGACCUGAGAGGGUGAUCGGCCACACUGGAACUGAGACACGGUCCAGACUCCUACGGGAGGCAGCAGUAGGGAAUCUUCCGCAAUGGGCGAAAGCCUGACGGAGCAACGCCGCGUGAGUGAUGAAGGUCUUCGGAUCGUAAAACUCUGUUAUUAGGGAAGAACAUAUGUGUAAGUAACUGUGCACAUCUUGACGGUACCUAAUCAGAAAGCCACGGCUAACUACGUGCCAGCAGCCGCGGUAAUACGUAGGUGGCAAGCGUUAUCCGGAAUUAUUGGGCGUAAAGCGCGCGUAGGCGGUUUUUUAAGUCUGAUGUGAAAGCCCACGGCUCAACCGUGGAGGGUCAUUGGAAACUGGAAAACUUGAGUGCAGAAGAGGAAAGUGGAAUUCCAUGUGUAGCGGUGAAAUGCGCAGAGAUAUGGAGGAACACCAGUGGCGAAGGCGACUUUCUGGUCUGUAACUGACGCUGAUGUGCGAAAGCGUGGGGAUCAAACAGGAUUAGAUACCCUGGUAGUCCACGCCGUAAACGAUGAGUGCUAAGUGUUAGGGGGUUUCCGCCCCUUAGUGCUGCAGCUAACGCAUUAAGCACUCCGCCUGGGGAGUACGACCGCAAGGUUGAAACUCAAAGGAAUUGACGGGGACCCGCACAAGCGGUGGAGCAUGUGGUUUAAUUCGAAGCAACGCGAAGAACCUUACCAAAUCUUGACAUCCUUUGACAACUCUAGAGAUAGAGCCUUCCCCUUCGGGGGACAAAGUGACAGGUGGUGCAUGGUUGUCGUCAGCUCGUGUCGUGAGAUGUUGGGUUAAGUCCCGCAACGAGCGCAACCCUUAAGCUUAGUUGCCAUCAUUAAGUUGGGCACUCUAAGUUGACUGCCGGU
rnacentral:rRNA from 1 species